AUCAACUUUCGAUGGUAGGAUAGAGGUCUACCAUGGUGAUAACGGGUAACGGGGUGUUAGGGCACGACACCGGAGAGGGAGCCUGAGAAACGGCUACCACAUCCAGGGAAGGCAGCAGGCGCGCAAAUUACCCAAUCCUGACACGUGGAGGUAGUGACAAUAAAUAACAAUACAGAGUUCUUUUGGAUCUUGUAAUUGGAAUGAGUACAAUUUAAAUCUCUUAACGAGGAACAAUUGGAGGGCAAGUCUGCCGCGGUAAUUCCAGCUCCAAUAGCGUAUAUUAAAGUUGUUGCAGUUAAAAAGCUCGUAGUUGAAUUUCGGGAUCAAUGUUUCGGUCACGCCGUUGGUAUGUACUGAUAUUAUUGGUUUCUCACCUUCUAAAGAACCGUAAUGCCAUUAAUUUGGUGUCACGGGGAAUUAGGACUGUUACCUUGAAAAAAUUAGAGUGUUUAAAGCAGGCUCACGCUUGAAUACAUUAGCAUGGAAUAAUGAAAUAGGACAUCCGAUUCUAUUUUGUUGGUUUCUAGGAUCGAUGUAAUGAUUAAUAGGGAUAGUUGGGGGCAUUAGUAUUCAAUUGUCAGAGGUGAAAUUCCUGGAUUUAUUGAAGACUAACUACUGCGAAAGCAUUUGCCAAGGAUGUUUUCAUUAAUCAAGAACGAAAGUUAGGGGGUCGAAGACGAUCAGAUACCGUCGUAGUCUUAACCAUAAACUAUGCCGACUAGGGAUCGGAUGAUGUUAAUUUUUUAAUGACUCAUUCGGCGCCUUACGGGAAACCAAAGUGUUUGGGUUC
rnacentral:rRNA from 1 species